AAAAGUCAUAUAUCAAGGCAACGUUAAUAUGCUUUGAUAGGGACACUUGUCAGAGACUUUCUCCAGCUAGCUUCUCUUUUCUUGAAGGUAGCUAAAGGGGAAAUAUUGGUGGGGGAAAGACUUGGUCCUGUGAGAUAUUUAGGGUUGCUUUUUUGAUAAUACAGUGUUUACAUCUCUGAAGUCUAUGUAACUUGUAGCUUUAGCUGGCCUGCCUCUCUCACUUCUCCUGAGGCCACACCUGCUGUCUCUAGCAUUCAGCACCGGAGAACCUCUCCUGUUGUGGGUUGCCCUGGGGCUGUUUGUAUGCUGCUGUUAAUUCUGCUUCAUCAAGAGGGGCUGCCCAAUGGAGGAGUGGAUCCUCUAUGCAUGUGUACAUAUGCAUGACGAGAUGACUAUAGCCAUAAAACCUUAAAUAUGCUGGCUGACGCUGUGCACGGGAUACAAAGUGGUACUGGCUUUCUGGGAUCGGAAGGAAAAGGGAAUUAUGAGAAAACUUGGGUGAUGUUUAGUUUCUGACUUAAGCACUCACUGGAAGAUACUAAAAGAUUAAUGUGAUUAAGUCAUCAGAAUUAUAGAGAGAGAAAGAAAAUACAUGAAGCAAAAGGGAUAAAAAGGAAUGCCAAGUAACGGGAAUUAUAUCGCAGACCAACUUUGCAAAUUGGCUUCCAUCUCUCAAGAACUUGUUGCAAUUAAGAACUCAGUUCUUCCCACAGGUCUCAACUGGCCAUUUUCUGUAACCAGCCAAGGGCUCAAGUGGAGGAAUUGUUACACCAACCUAUCUCUAAACCCUUGACCUACAGAUUCUACUGCCUGUAGAGUGAACUGGGACUGGAGCUUAGCAGAAUCAUCAUUAAAGAGAUCAGAGAGACUUCUUCCAGCAUCUGAUGGGAGCAGAUGCACAGUCCCACAACCAAACAUUAGGUGGAGUUCAAAGAGUCCUGGGGAGACAGGAGGAAGGAUCUGAGGAUUGGUCAGGAACAUACCGUGAGAAUGUUGCCCAGAGAACUAAUUGACUGAGAUUUGUGGGAAGUUGCAGAGAUCAGUAAUCCUGUAGAGCUCUAACCUGGGUACUUUACAUACAUAUGUUAUGGCUGAGUGGCUUGGUGUUCUUGUGGAAAUCAGGGUCUAUCCCUCACUAACUCUUUUGCCUAUCUGUGAAAACCAUUUUCUCUUACUGGGUUGUCUUGCCCAGCUUUGAUGUGAUGGUAUGUGCCUGGUCUUAUUGUAGUUUGUUAUAGCCUGCUUGAUAUUUGGUUGAUGUCCCUGGGAGGCCGGCUCUUCUCAGCAG
rnacentral:lncRNA from 1 species